ACAGUCUUUGUUACAUUUAGAUAAUGAUGAUGAAGCUAUGAUUGUUGGAAUCUAUGGCCCUGCA
rnacentral:sRNA from 1 species